rnacentral:lncRNA from 1 species
CUCAAGACACAGUGCUAAUGUAAAUAAAUAAAUAAAAAUAAAUAUAUAUAUAUAUAUAUAUAAAUAUAUAAAUAUAAAAUUUACAUAUAUAUGUAUAUAUAAGUGAAUAAAUAUAUUUUACUUAAAUAUACAUAUAUAUGUAUAAUCUUGCCUGUUUGCAUCUGGAACACUUGUUUCUUGUUACACACAUUGUGUACAGUCAUAACAGAUGUGUGCAAGUCAAAACAACAACUUGUACAGAUCUGAAAAUUAGUUUGUCAUUAGAAAGGAGUGAAAUUGUGGUAUGAAAUUCCCACAAAAGAUUUAUCGAUGAAGAACAAGUAAGAACUUACAAGGAGUUAUAGAAUAUAAAUGAAAAGAAUUCAUUGGAAUUUGACUUCAGUAAUUUUAUGCUUACAAAGCAUUCCACAAGGGAAGAAAUGUGCCCUGAUAUUGUGAUUUGAAUUUAUGUUAGGGAGCUUGUAAAUUGAAUCUGGCCAUGAAAUACUUUGACAAAUGUAUAAUCUUUCAAUACCUGCCAAUCAUUCUACACUGGAUUGCCCCACUUGUGCAAAAUACUUGAUGUUUCAGUAACCAAGUUACUGAAAAUUAAUUGAACUACAGCAACUGAUCAUUUAUAUAUAAAAUUCUUCAUGUAUGCAGUCAUAUUAUUAUAAUGUAUUUUAGAAAAAUCUUUCUGUAGAAGAAUUCAUAAUUGGAGUUUUAUUUCAGUACAGAAUGGAAAAGAACACUUAUUGAAUCAUCAAUAUAAAGUAUAUUUCAUAACUUCAUGAUUUAUAUUAGAUUAAAUACUUGUACUGUCAUUUUUAGUUGUGGGGAUAAUUUAUGUAGAAUAUCUUGUUACCUCACUGCAUACACGAACAGUUUUGUGUUUAGAGCGUGGCUUGCAGUGAGUCAUAUUGUAAAAAAAAAGAGAUGCCCAUAUUCUAAAAUCAUACAGUUCAAUAAUGAAAUGUCUAGAUGUGCAUUAAUAAACUGUAAAAUUAUAUUUCCAUUUGUUAUUUCUUAUAUAUUUUUCUUUUGUUAAAAAGUCACAUCAAACAAAAAUAUUUAGUUUUUUGCUUUUAUUAUUAUAUAAUUUUUUUAAAUUGACAUUAAUUUGUAUUGAGAUUCAUUUCAUAAUUUUAUAUUUUUGCCAUUAAUAUUUGAUUAUGAACUGCUAAAUUUUUAAUAAAUCAUAGUUUUAAUUUUUUUUAAACUGCUAAAUUAUUAAAUGCGAUCUGAAAAGUACAAAAGUUAUAUUUUUUCUAAAAUAGAAAUAAUUAAAAUUACUAUGGCUUUUAUGUAUUUAAGAAAUAAAUAGUUCCUUUCUUGUGCAAUUCUAUUCCUAAUUUUACUCUAAUUUUAUACUUUCUCUUUAUAAUCUUAACUAGACAUUAUUAACAAUAAUAUAUUAAAGGACUAUUUUAAAAUAGCUGUUUUUUAUGUAAGAAUUCAGAUUUGUAUAAUCUAAGCCGGUUUAAUAUUUGAAAAUUCUCUUUAGUUUAAGAUUAUAUUAUAAAUACCAAAAUCACUGUUAAAAGGUCAAAAUAUGAAGUGCAUAAGAUUUGCUGUGUUUUUAUAUCAUAAAAAUGGAAUGGUAUUUUAUUUUGUUAAUAUAUUUUGAAGUGUGGUUAUUCUUUAUCACAAGUGCAUGUAAAUUAUGUGGUGCAAGACCAAAAUAAGUGUCCAAUUGAGUAAGUUACCUCAGUUUUCUGUAAGCAUGAUAAUUUUUAAUUAUAUGGCUGUUACGGUUUCUUGUUUAAAUAUAUCAUUUAAACUUUGUAGAAUUUUAAUUAAAUACAUGAUUUGUAUAAUAUGUUACUUGUCUAGAAAAGAAAAUUGUAAUAUACCAAAGUACUUAUUUUCUUUUUAAAAUUUUGGUGGUUAUAACAACGAGGCAUAAUUAAAUGUACAAAAGGGUAUCAUUAUGGAUGCAAAUGUAAAGUUUCACGUGUUCAUAAGAAAAUAGCAUCCAUAAAAUAUGUCAUGGUGAUAAAGAAAAGAGAUAUUAAACAGAAAGUGUUCAAUAAAGAUUUAGUCAAUUCCAAUUGAUGAAUUAAAUAGCAUUAAUUAAUUAAUAAAAACAAUGAACAUAAUCAUAACUCAUUCCUUCCGUC